rnacentral:rRNA from 1 species
UGCCAGCAGCCGCGGUAAUACGAAGGGACCUAGCGUAGUUCGGAAUUACUGGGUUUAAAGGGUCCGUAGGCGGACGACUAAGUCAGUGGUGAAAUCCAACAGCUCAACUGUUGAACUGCCAUUGAUACUGAUCGUCUUGAGUAUGUUAGAUGUUGGCGGAAUAGGUCAUGUAGCGGUGAAAUGCUUAGAUAUGACCUAGAACACCGAUUGCGAAGGCAGCCAACAACGCCAUUACUGACGCUGAGGGACGAAAGCGUGGGGAGCGAAUAGGAUUAGAUA